GGCGAGAACUCGACGGCUCUGAAAGGGGAACGAGUCGAAGGCAGACAUCAAAAAGGUCUUGCACGCAGAGCCUGACGGCUGGCCGGAUCCGUUCUUGAGGCCGCAAGGGGGUAAGGACUGAACGGCCAAUGGCGCGUUUCUCCACCACUGUGUCUCCAGUGAAGAAGCUGCGAGUGUCUGUGGAGAGGCAUGUUGCUGCGGUGUCAGCGGGGAUGCGGGGAAGCACAGGGAAUGUAAGUGCCAUUUUCUUUGCGGGUAAAGGACGAAGGCCGAAGAGUCUAUCGGCGAGCCUCGGCUCUUGCAGGGCACAGAGGCACCCAGGCUGCUUCGCGGCCGCAGAUGCGAUGGAACUCCGACGGUAAAUCUCCCGUUUCUUCGAACGAGAGUGGCACAAAGGGUAAGCGAAGGUAGCGCUAGGCAACGGAGGUCCUCGGGAGAACCUGCCUCGGUCGGCCGCCUUUUGAAAACAACGCCCGGGAACGGCAGAGAAGAACUGACACGGCGAAGACUGUUGAAGGUAGUCUCCGGCGAGGAGACCGGAGUGCCGUGUAAGAGAGGGAAGGGAGGCGGUUUGCCUGGAGAGGACAAAGCCAGCGAGGCGCGAAAGUGGAAACCCACACCGAGAAAGAAGAGACCGAGGCUCCGGUGGAGUGACCGCCUGUAUCUACAAGACAUAGACCGACGCAGUCCGUUCGGAGGUGAAGCGUUUGACGAAAAGAAGAGGAAGUCUGAAGAAGUCAUGAGAUGGAAGAGACAAAAGACGAGGGCCUGUGGCAGGACAAGGAGACAGGAGACACCUGCCAGUGGGGCUGGCGACGGCGGCAACCGGGCUGUGGCGCCCCCCGAAAAAACGGGGGGAAAAGUCUCCCGUUUCUGUGACAUUAUAGUCUCUUGCCGACUCGGCCUCCCUCUGGAAAGUUCUGAGCUCGUGCGACGGUUUUUACAAGCAGCUUUCCCCAGGCAGACGUCGAUUGCUGGCGACGCUCGAGAACGAAGACACGCGCAGGGCCCGCGAACAUGUCGGGACUGGGUUGGCUGUCUGCGCGUGCAUGCAGAAGCUUUGGACUGAAAAAAAAUCUAACUAUCCGCGACAGAAGAAAGCUGAACGUGGCGCUUCAAAGGCAUUUUCUUCGUUCCAUAACAAAUCCUUAUUUGGACCUUCAUGCAUGUACCACGCAGUGACAGGAUACUUCCAUGCAGUAUCAGAUCCGCCGUCUGGCGGGACAGUCACUUUUUUGUGUCAGGAGGAGGUUCGGCAAGUUGUGUCAGUGACAUGUUUUGGCGGAGAAGAGGCAAGAAUCCUCGAUAAAUGGCUGUUUAGCAAACCGAGAAGCUCCAGCAGUCCCUCUUUCAACUCGACUUAGAUCUGUAGGAG
rnacentral:lncRNA from 1 species